GGAAAAUAGCAUGAAUUUUGAAAUAAUUCUAAGACUGUCUAUGGUGAGCGUGUGUGCACACUUUCACCACUAGAUGGCAGAAAUAUUACCUUUUUGCAGGUACAGGGCAGCAGACACUACAUAGGAAGAAAUUUGGCGUGAGAGAGUUUGGACGGGAAAGUCCAAGACUUUGCACAUACAGUUCUUUCACCCUUACAUUCCUCCUCCAGAAGAAACAGAAAUCACUCGGGGCUAUUCACUAAAGUGAGAAUUGCAUUGAAUUCAAAGUGAAUUUCACAUUUUACACCUACAUAGACGAAAUGUUAGUUGAGUUGAGAGAUGAGAAGCCUGGUCAUAGCAUACGUCGCUUUAACAGCACAACCAGGCCCCUUCCUCUCUGCUGGGUGAGCUGGGAGGAUGUGAGAGACGGUCACUGCCUCCCAGCUGACAUAGACCCAGCCGAGUGAAAAAGGGG